rnacentral:rRNA from 1 species
GACGAACGCUGGCGGCGUGCUUAACACAUGCCAGUCGAACGAAGAGCGAUGGAAGCUUGCUUCUAUCAAUCUUAGUGGCGAACGGGUGAGUAACGCGUAAUCAACCUGCCCUUCAGAGGGGGACAACAGUUGGAAACGACUGCUAAUGCCGCAUACGACCUGACCUCGGCAUCGAGGAUAGAUGAAAGGUGGCCUCUAUUUAUAAGCUAUCACUGAAGGAGGGGAUUGCGUCUGUUUAGCUAGUUGGAGGGGUAACGGCCCACCAAGGCGAUGAUCAGUAGCCGGUCUGAGAGGAUGAACGGCCACAUUGGGACUGAGACACGGCCCAGACUCCUACGGGAGGCAGCAGUGGGGAAUCUUCCGCAAUGGACGAAAGUCUGACGGAGCAACGCCGCGUGAGUGAUGACGGCCUUCGGGUUGUAAAGCUCUGUUAAUCGGGACGAAAGGCCUUCUUGCGAAUAGUUAGAAGGAUUGACGGUACCGGAAUAGAAAGCCACGGCUAACUACGUG